ACAAAAGGUGCAAAAGAAAAUAAGAAAUUAGGUAUACGGUUUUUCCAUAUUAAAGAAGAAGCUGUAGAAAGAUAAGAUCCUGAAUUUCCUUUCAACAACACCCACUGUAAUCUACACACACACAUAUAGAUACAGAUUUCCGAUAACGGUUAAGGUAAUCUGGUGUUGACUCGUCGAUUUAGACGGGGUGUUGACUAGAUGGCUGAAGAACAGUUAGAUUAUGGAGAUGAGGAAUUUGGUGGGUCCCAAAAGACACGAUAUCAUGGUGAUGGAGCAAUUCCUGCACUUGCAGAUGAUGAAAUUGGUGGUGAAGAUGAUGAAUAUGAUGAUUUGUACAAUGACGUUAAUGUUGGUGAAAAUUUCCUACAAAUGCAACGGGCUGAGUCACUACCAUCCGUUAACGUUGGUAACGGAAAGUUCCAUGAUCAAAAACCGAAUUUCCCGGAAGCCCAGCCCGAAGCCCGACCCGAUUCUAUGGUGCCACAAGACAAAAACAUACCCGGUGUUGCAGCUGAAACUGGUUAUCCAACUACUGGCUUGAAUAAAGAAGGGUUGACUGUUGACCUUUCGCAAAAAAGAAUGGUUCCUGAAGCGAGUAACGAUGUGGGGUUUCACGUAACCCAAAAACCAAGUGAGCCCAUACCCAUCGGAAACGAGCAAGCGCCUAUGAUAAAUUCUAAUCCAGGUAACGGUCCAGGUGGCGUUCCUCCAAUGCCAGGUCAGCAGGUGGGUGCAAAUCAAGUUCGAACACCGGCGGAAAAUGGUGCCACGACUCUUUUUGUCGGAGAGUUACACUGGUGGACGACAGAUGCCGAGCUAGAAAACGUUUUAUCUCAUUAUGGAAGGGUGAAAGAAAUAAAGUUUUUUGAUGAACGGGCUAGUGGAAAGUCAAAGGGUUAUUGUCAAGUUGACUUUUAUGAUUCGGUUUCUGCUGCUGCUUGUAAAGACGGGAUGAAUGGUUACGUUUUCAAUGGUCGGCCUUGUGUGGUGGCUUUUGCUUCCCCACAAACUAUAAGGCAAAUGGGUGCUUCUUACGGUAAUAAAAAUCAAGGACCGGUUCAGUCUCAGGCAGACGCACCGGGGCGGAGACCGGUGAAUGAUGUGGCGGGAAGAGGCGGUGGGAAUAAUUUUUCCGGCGGAGAUGCAGGGCGGAAUUACGGGCGGGGUAAUUGGGGCCGAGGUGGAGGAGGAGGACAAGGGGUUAUGAAUCGUGGCGGCGGGAAUAUGAGAGGAAGAGGCGGGAUGGGGCCGAAGAAUGUGAACACCCCCGGGUUUGGAACCGGCGGCGGUUAUGGCGGCCCGGCUUUCGGUGGUCCCCCGGGUGGGUUCAUGCCGCCUCAGGGGAUGAUGGGUGGCGGUGGGUUUGAUCCGACAUAUAUGGGUCGCGGGGCGUACGGUGGUUUUCCGGGAACCGGUUUUCCCGGUAUGAUGCCGCAGUUUCCCGGGGUUAAUGCCAUGGGUUUACCUGGGGUGGCGCCACAUGUGAACCCGGCUUUUUUUAACCGAGGGAUGGGCGGCGGUGGUGGUGGGGGGAUGGGGAUGAUGGGGGGCGGUGGCGGCGGCAUGGAGGGACCACAAGCAGGAAUGUGGGGUGACACUGGUAUGGGAUGGGGUGGGGAAGACCACGGUCAAAGUCAAGGUCAAGGUCAAAGAACUCGAGAGUCAAGUUACGGUGGUGAAGACGGUGGUUCAGAACAUGGGUAUGGUGGUGGUGGUGGUGGUGAGGGUAGCCAUGAAAAAGUGACCACCACCCGCUCAAACCGAGAAAAAGAUCGUGAAUGGUCGGAAAAUUCCGAAAAAAGGCACCGUGGUGAGCGGGACCGGGACCCGAAGGAACACCGUGAUAGGUAUGAUAAAGAUUACAAAUACAAAGAAGAAAAGGACAGUUACCGGGACCGAGACCAUCACCGUCAAAAGGACCGCAACGCUGGUUACGAUGAUGAUUGGGACCGUGGUGCUCAGGGUUCGACACGGUCCAGGAGCCGGUCCCGAGCUAUGCCAGAAGACGACCGUCACCAUCGCCGAUCCCGGUCCAGGUCCCGAGAUGCGGAUUACGGUAAACGGAGGCGCAUGCGGUCAGAUUAACCGGUGGUCAACCAGUUCGUUUGACCAAUUCUUCAACUUGUUGCUGUUUGUCAUUAAACCAGUAUAUGCAAAAAUCAGCUUUGGGAUUUUAAAAGGAACAGUUAAUGACCUGGACGAAGCUGACUUGAUUCAUUGGAUUCUAUAAGUUAAAUUUUCCGUCAACUGCUGGUCUGCACCAGAAUUAGUUUAUUUUUUAUUUUUCGUGUGUAUCAUAUGUUGCGUUGUAACAUCAUCCCCACUGUGUCAUGCAGUCAUUAGUAUCUGAUUUGUUGUAUCGGGAAUCUGUUUAUGUUUUCUUAGAUUCUAGUAUCGGGUAUAUGCAACCCAUUUUAUAGUUGUAAUAUGCAGAGCAUGUAGGCCCGUGUUUUGUCGGUAAGCCCCAAAAUGGGGAUGUAAUGUGUAGAUCGUGUUAGUUUAGGCUUUCUUGUUGUUUCGGUUGCUGCUGUGUUUUAGAAGGGCUGCAAACGGAAAAGUUUUCUGCAUGCUUGUAUGCUGUUGUUUUCUAGCUGUACAUUGUAACAUAGUAUAGUCUUAACAGGACAGACAUUUUUGUACUAAACCUUUUGUACAGACAGGGUUAGAUUUUCUCAGAAUGUAUCCUAAUCCUAUGUGGUUUCAAUGUUU